UACGUAGGGUGCAAGCGUUAAUCGGAAUUACUGGGCGUAAAGCGUGCGCAGGCGGUUUUGUAAGUCUGACGUGAAAUCCCCGGGCUCAACCUGGGAAUUGCGUUGGAGACUGCAAGGCUAGAAUCUGGCAGAGGGGGAUAGAAUUCCACGUGUAGCAGUGAAAUGCGUAGAGAUGUGGAGGAACACCGAUGGCGAAGGCAGCCCCCUGGGUCAAGAUUGACGCUCAUGCACGAAAGCGUGGGGAGCGAACAGG
rnacentral:rRNA from 1 species